rnacentral:tRNA from 1 species
CGAGCUGCUUGGCGGAGGUCGCGCCGGCGCCGUCGUCGCCGGAGGCGAGCAGCGUGCCGUCGGUGUUCAGCACCGUCACCUCGUCC